rnacentral:rRNA from 1 species
GUGGGGAAUAUUGCGCAAUGGGGGAAACCCUGACGCAGCGACGCCGUGUGAGGGAAGAAGGCUUUCGGGUCGUAAACCUCUGUCAGAAAGGAAGAACCUCCCAAGUCCGAAUAGGGCUUGGGACUGACGGUACUUUCAAAGGAAGCACCGGCUAACUCCGUGCCAGCAGCCGCGGUAAUACGGAGGGUGCAAGCGUUAAUCGGAAUCAAUGGGCGUAAAGCGCGCGUAGGCCGCUUUGUAAGUCGGACGUGAAAGCCCUCGGCUCAACCGGGGAACUGCGUUCGAUACUGCGAGGCUUGAGUCCUGGAGAGGGUGGCGGAAUUCCGGGUGUAGGAGUGAAAUCCGUAGAUAUCCGGAGGAACACCGGUGGCGAAGGCGGCCACCUGGACAGGUACUGACGCUGAGGCGCGAAAGCGUGGGGAGCAAACAGGAUUAGAAACCCGAGUAGUCC